rnacentral:lncRNA from 1 species
GAAAUUUCCAUAAAUUUGAUUGGAUCGAAUUCAAAAACGUACGUUGAAUAGAAAGAAGGCAAAAAACAGUUUCUCCAGGGAGAAACCUAAGAAGAAUUCAAACAAACAUCCCCUAAAGAAAUAGGGCAAGUUGCAUCAAAAAUGAUGGUUUUAGUAGCCUUCGGGCUUGUAGGCGAUGAAACUGAUGCAUUGCACUUGACACAUGUUGUCGAAUCCAAUGAUUCUGAUCCAAGCUUGUGGGUAAGCCUUCUUUACCUCCUCUACCUCAGCAACACUAGUUAGAGUCACUGCAUGAAUUCUUCUAUCUUCAUUUUGAAAUAAAUAGUCAUGUAUAUAAAUUAUUAUCCAAAAGGGAAAAUGAAAAGCACAAGACUCCUAGACGGAAAGAGUAGUUGGUAAAAUUGACCGGAUGUUGACUUAUGCCAGAGAACAUGUUUCAAAUUAGUAAAGAAACAAAUGAUUAUUAUUAAUUCUCAUAAACUUGAGUGGAAUUCAAAAAUAUACACCGAAUAGAAAGAAGGAAUUAAAACAAAGGAAAACCAAAACAGUUUUUCUGGGGAAAAACUCAAGGAGAAUGCAAACAAACUUUCCCUGAAUACAUACAGUAAGUUGUCUUAAAAAUGGAGAUUUUAGUAGCCUUCGGGCUUGUAGGCGAUGAAACUAAUGCACUGCACUUGACGGACAUUGUCGAAUCCAAUUAUUCUGAUCCAGGCUUGUGGGUAAGCCUUCUUUGCCUCCUCUACCUCAGCCA